UGGAUACCGUGGCCCACGCUGACGUCCUUCCUGUCGACGCGGCCCUGAUGUGCGCCGCUGACGUCAUUCUUGUGGCGUCAUGGUUCCUGCAGGCAGCCGCCCAGGGCUGGGAGCAGGGUAGACAGGUCGAGCCGGAACGUGCAGUGAUGGACGUGGAGCCGCAGACAGACGAUAAGAAGACAGGUCUGGACAGAUCCAUGGCCAGCCCUGACCAUAGGCAGUGUGCACCCUGAUGUGAAUAUGGGUAGCUGGAGAAGAGGACACCCAGCAGAGGCCUGGGCUGGGCAGAUCCUGAGAAGGAAUACCUGCAAGGACAGACUGUUCUCUAAGUUACUGAAAACUCGGUUCAUGUUCUUGGACUACAGCUCUUCAUCAUCCUCUGAGAGGAGACCAAGCCCACACUGGCCCACUGAUUGGUACUUUGUGCUAUGUUAUGUCCUUGCAAAACUUUUCCUCCUGGCAACUUCUCAAACUGCCUAUCCCUUCAUCCUGAUUUGUACUUCCUGAGGACAUCAAGGAAUCAAACUCUGUGUUCCUCAGCAGUUUGAAAAUUAGCAGUCAUGCCAUAGCAGUGUUCAGUAGCAAUGAUUUUUGGCAUUGUCCAUGACUUUGGCUUGGAUAUGAGACAUCUUUGAGAAGUUCAUGGAAAAUGCAUAUUAUGCACACAUUACACUAUGCAUGUGUUACAGAAUCGUUUUGCACCAAAAUAAACUUUUCAAAAAUUUAUGUAUUUAUGUGAAAGGAAGGGAAAAGAGAGAGUGCUCACAUUUGCUGGUUCACUCCCUAAAUGCCUUCAGUGGCCAGGACUGCCUCCCCAAGGAUCCACAUAAGCAGUAAGUUGGCAUCGAGAACCAGACCAGAGGUGAGUAUGGAAGCAGGCACCCUAGUAUGAGAUGUGGGCCUCUCAACAGCCAGGCCAAACACUCACCCUCACUUAUCUUUUAAUUCCAUUUCCCACAGACUUUUUGAAGUGCCUCAUACCUUUGUUUUACAGUGUCCCUUCUGCAUCAGCCUAAGCAUCUGAGGUUAAGUUCCGUAGAAACUUGGCCCUGGCUGGGCCAUAUGUGGUGACUGCUCCUUUGUACACAGCAAGAGUUCUUGCUGCUCUUUAGAACAGGCAGAGCUAGCCCAGUUUUGAGCACACAGAUCUUCCUUUUGAGGCUAAUAGAAACACACUGGAAAUUUUACAAGAAGUGGCUUUUCUGUGACGUUUCCAGAAUUUUCACCUACUACACGGCCUGGCACUGACAGCCCCUGUCCGUCAGUAUGGGCCUUUCCAACUGGGAGCAGGAGCUCAGAGGUGUGAAUCUGCAGUGAGGGCUAAGGCAGCCAGGCAGCGGGGCCCUGGAGCCAGGAUGUCCAGGCACCGUCCCCGACUGGCCUUGACUCACCCUUUUGGAUAGGAAAGGCCACGGUAGAUGCUCAGCCUCACUGAGGAGUUUGCAAAGAUUGGCUACAGCCUAUGCGCUGGUUUUGGGGUGGAGCUGGCUGCCAGACCUGGAGGUGGAAUGCCCUGUGGCCUGUGCUGUGUGGCUGAGGCCUGCUCCACUGUGCAGGGUGGGUGGUGGGGACCACUGGAUGGUAGAUUCUUGCACAGUGGCCAGCCUGUUCUGCAUCUCACACCUGUUCAUUCUGGCUCUGCAGCCCUGGGCAUGCGAUUCACUCCCUGCCUAGGGUUUGUUUCCUCAUGGGCUCGAGUGGGGGAGCAGGGCUUUGAGUGUGAGCAAUUAGGAUCAUGCCUGGUACACAGUUGGUGCUUGCUGGAUCUCAGCAAAAAGAAGGAGGGCUUGGGAGUAGGUGCAAAGCAUCCUUGAUGUCCCUGGAGCCUGGGCAGUGCUAUGAUUGUUCCUGGGUCAGGCUGGAAGGAAAACAUGCCAGCAUGCAUACUCCAUGAGGGGGUGCUGGGCAGCACCUGCUACCUGCUUCAGUAGGAGUCGGGGUCAGAGCAGGAAGGUGCACAAGAAAUGGAAUGCCCAGCCUGUGAACAUGGCAGGGUCCAAAUGCAGAGGAAGGGACGCCACACACACAGUACGUGUGCCGCUCCACAGCAGUCCUGGUCUCAGAAGGUCCUUGAGUGAUCCUGGUCAAGGUACUUACACUUCAGGCCUCCGUGACACCUGCAUGCCUAGGAGGUUGACACCCACAAUUCCGAGACCCUUCCCAUUGCAGAUUCCGAGUGGAGACAGGAGAAAGGGUCCUGCAUGAUGGACAGGCAGGUGGAUGAACUUCCAAAGGAGCUGACUGUGAAUGAGUUCCAGGCACCUGGUGCUGGGCAGCACGAGCUCCAGCUGAGUAACAGUCUGCCUGCAAUUGGGCAAGGGGUCUGGACAGUAGGUCAGCUUCUGCCUGUAGGGAUCGCCAGCUCACCUGAGUGGAGAUUUGGGGCUCUACACCUGCUUCUGGGCCUCAAUGGCCUGGACUGAUGGUGGGAAGAAGGGCCGAGAAAACUGGAUUCCCCAGAAGAAGAGAGGGGUGCAUGUAAACUGGGUGGUGCUCCCCUCUGAGCAGCCCUAGCACAUAUGUGUCAACAUGACUGGGCUAGGGGCUGCCCAGAUAUUUAGUCAACUGAUAUUCUAUUCUGGGUGUUUCUGGGGGGGUGUUUUUGUAUGGGACGAACAUUUGAGUGGGUGGACUGAGUGAAGCAGACAGCCCUCCCUCAUGUAGAGGGGCCUUAUCCAAUCAGCAGAGGGCCUGAUAGAACAGAACUGCUGACCUCUUCAAAGUAAGACAGAGUUCCGCUCCCUGGGAGCCUUCAAAUGGGGCCAUCACUUCCUAGUUCUGUAGCAGCUUUUGGCUUUUGGAUUCAGGCUGGAACAUCAGCUGUGCAGAUUCCGGACUUGAUACCUCUGUGGUGACAUGAGCCGUUUCCUUGUAAUCAUGCUCUCUCUCUUUACACACACCUAUGCACACACAGUCCAUCCCUCAGCAUCCGAGGGGUUAAGUUCCAGGGCCUUCUCUCAGGUGGCCAAAUCUGCAGACGUUCAAGUCCCUUUUGGAAGAUGGUGUCAUCUUUACAUAUCACCUAUGUGAUCUUCCUGUAACUUGCAGUCACCUCUAGACUAAUCCAAUGUAAAUGCUCUGUAAAUAGUUGUACACUGUGUUGUUUAGGGAACAGGAUGAGGAAAAAAAUCCUGUACAUAUUUAGCACAGAUGCUUUUCUCCCCACCAUUUUGAUCUGCAGUGGCUGAAUCUGCAAAUGUGGUAUCCAUAGGUACAGAGAGCUAACCUGCACACCCUGUUAUUAGGAUCGCGAUCCUAUUGGUUUGGCUUUCCUGGAGCACCCUGACUAACACACUAAGUAUCUGAUUAUCUCACAUGCUGGGUUGUCAGUGUCAGGACUGGGGUCGUCUCCAUGGAGCAGUGUCUGGAAGGCUCAGGGAGUGCUUUCAGGCUCCCCCUAAGGACAUGAACUGCCAGAAGUAAGGGUAGGAGUCAGUGACGGGAGCAGUGACAUGUGCUGGAGCACACACAUCACCAGUCUUCUCUCCUGUACCCAGACUGGAGAGAAAGGACACCAGGUCAGCACCUUGUAACUUCUCCCUCCCCAUUAGUCACUGGUUGUUCAGAACAAGCAGGCCCAGGGAUGUGUGUGAGUAAGUAAGCUAAUCCAUGCAAACAUUCCCAGUGGGCUUGAAAGAUACUGGGAAGUAUUUUAGUAGUAUUGCCAUUAUUAUUUCUGGGUUUAAUUCUACGUGUGUUUAAAGAAAAUGAGGAAUAAGGUUCUAUGACCUAUGUGUUUUUAGCAAAAAUGUUUAGAAUUUCCCCCUUGCUCAAACUGGAAAAAAAAAUCUUUCGUAAUUCUCAGCUCAGACAUAUAAAUAUUCUAAACAAAAGCUUAUUAUUUCUACCCACUGCACCAUCUAUUGAGUUAAGACUGGCUAAUCCUGAGGUUGACACAGUUAAAUGGAAGGGUUCAUUUGGAACUGUUAACACGUUGCACUGACACCUUCACUUAUACAGGACCUUUCCUGCUGAGGACCUGCACUCUGCAGACUGUGUGUAAAUAGAAGCACCUCCCUGCCACCACACGCAGCCUUCUCACGGGCACCGUGCGGCCCAGUCACCACCCAGCAGUCUUUCUGUUGAAAAAAAAAAAGAUUGAAGACUAUGAGACUGAGAGAGUAUCUUGCACCUACAGAUUAACUCUCUAAUUCUCGACACCAACUGGAUGUCUAACUAGUUAAUUCAGUUGUGCCACUGUCUGGGGUUUGCCCAGACCCUGUCAACUGUGGACUUGGUCCCACAAGAAUGCCUCAACGUCGGGGAAUGCCUCAACGUCGGAUACCUUUUCUAAGUACUGAGUGACCAGUGUUGAACUGAAGUAAAUUGGGCCUAAAUCAACCUCCAUACUCCAGUAAUAAAUUUGGCCCCUAGCAGCUUCUGUACGUGGUGGAUUUAUCCUAGAUAACCUAGAGUUCCUAACCUAAGAGUAGCCCCUUGUAACCAAACAAGUAAGUCUCUGUCAGUCACAGUAGCUGAGCUUCAGCCAAUCAUGGGCUAUAACUGAUCAGAUCAUAUCUAAGACAAUUGCCUCCUUAAGCCAAUCAGGUUGCUUUUAUCCAUCACUUCCGUUUCUCUGGCUAUAAAUAGGAGCUGCAUAUGUGGUGGAGUGCACACCCCAUCUUUGCUCUGGAAUGCUGUAAGUUCUACAAGCUUCUUCUUGCUCAAGUAAGCUGUAAGAAACUUUAAAAAUUUAAUGUUUUAAUGUGAAAGAGGGAGGGGGGAGAGAGAGAAAGAGAGAGAGAGAGAGAGAGAGAGAGAAUGUUCCAUAUGCUUCUUCAUUCACCAAAUUCUCACACAGCUAGGAUUGGGCCAGGCUGAAGCCAGGGGCUGAGAGUUCCAUUUUGGUCUACCACAUGUGUGGCAGGGUCCCAGUUUCUUGAGCAAUGCAUCACCUGUUACCUUCCAGGGCCUGCAUUAGCAGGAAGCUGGAAUUGUAGCAGAGCCAGGACUUGAACCCAGGCACUCCAGUAUGGGACCUGGGUGUCCUAAGUGGC